UACGAAGGUGGCAAGCGUUGUUCGGAUUCACUGGGCGUACAGGGUGUGUAGGCGGUUUGGUAAGCCUUCUGUUAAAGCUUCGGGCCCAACCCGGAAAGCGCAGAGGUACUGCCAGGCUAGAGGACGGGAGAGGAGCGCGGAAUUCCCGGUGUAGCGGUGAAAUGCGUAGAGAUCGGGAGGAAGGCCGGUGGCGAAGGCGGCGCUCUGGAACGUUACUGACGCUGAGACACGAAAGCGUGGGGAGCAAACAGG
rnacentral:rRNA from 1 species